rnacentral:rRNA from 1 species
AUUGAACGCUGGCGGCAUGCCUUACACAUGCAAGUCGAACGGCAGCGGGGACUUCGGUCCGCCGGCGAGUGGCGAACGGGUGAGUAAUGUAUCGGAACGUACCAUUCAGUGGGGGAUAACUAUCCGAAAGGAUAGCUAAUACCGCAUAGUCUGUGAGCAGGAAAGCAGGGGAUCGCAAGACCUUGCGCUGAUUGAGCGGCCGAUAUCAGAUUAGCUAGUUGGUGAGGUAACGGCUCACCAAGGCUACGAUCAGUAGCGGGUCUGAGAGGAUGAUCCGCCACACUGGGACUGAGACACGGCCCAGACUCCUACGGGAGGCAGCAGUGGGGAAUUUUGGACAAUGGGCGCAAGCCUGAUCCAGCCAUGCCGCGUGAGUGAAGAAGGCCUUCGGGUUGUAAAGCUCUUUCGGCCGGGAAGAAAUCGCAUCAGCUAAUACCUGGUGUGGAUGACGGUACCGGAAUAAGAAGCACCGGCUAACUACGUGCCAGCCGCCGCAGUAA